UCGGGAAUCUUGCACAAUGGGCGAAGGCCUGAUGCAGCAACGCCGUGUGAGCGAGGAAGGCCUUAGGGUCGUAAAGCGCUGUUGUUGGGGACGAAGGGCGAAGGGUUAAUAGCCCCUAGCCUGACGGUACCCUUCGAGGAAGCCCCGGCUAACUACGUGCCAGCAGCCGCGGUAAUACGUAGGGGUCAAGCGUUAUCCGGAAUUACUGGGCGUAAAGCGCACGCAGGCGGCGUGCCAAGUCCGAUGUGAAAGCUCCCGGCUUAACUGGGAGAGGUCGGUGGAUACUGGCAGGCUUGAGGCAGUGAGAGGGAUGCAGAAUUCCUGGUGUAGUGGUGGAAUGCGUAGAUAUCAGGAGGAAUACCAGUGGCGAAAGCGGCAUCCUGGCACUGUACUGACGCUCAUGUGCGAAAGCGUGGGGAGCGAACGGGAUUAGAUACCCCCGUAGUCC
rnacentral:rRNA from 1 species